rnacentral:tRNA from 1 species
GCACCAGUGGCGGAAUCGGUAGACGCGCACGUUUGAGGGGCGUGUGAGCACUCUCAUGCAAGUUCAAGUCUUGUCUGGUGCACCA